CUGAUCCAGCCAUGCCGCGUGCGGGAAGAAGGCCUUCGGGUUGUAAACCGCUUUUGUCAGGGAAGAAACGCUCUGAGUUAAUACCUCGGGGUAAUGACGGUACCUGAAGAAUAAGCACCGGCUAACUACGUGCCAGCAGCCGCGGUAAUACGUAGGGUGCAAGCGUUAAUCGGAAUUACUGGGCGUAAAGCGUGCGCAGGCGGUUAUGCAAGACAGAUGUGAAAUCCCCGGGCUCAACCUGGGAACUGCAUUUGUGACUGCAUAGCUAGAGUACGGUAGAGGGGGAUGGGAUUCCGCGUGUAGCAGUGAAAUGCGUAGAUAUGCGGAGGAACACCGAUGGCGAAGGCAAUCCCCUGGACCUGUACUGACGCUCAUGCACGAAAGCGUGGGGAGCAAACAGGAUUAGAUACCCUGGUAGUCCACGCCCUAAACGAUGUCAACUGGUUGUUGGACGGCUUGCUGUUCAGUAACGAAGCUAACGCGUGAAGUUGACCGCCUGG
rnacentral:rRNA from 1 species